UGACCCAGCCAUGCCGCGUGCAGGAAGACGGCCCUCUGGGUUGUAAACUGCUUUUAUCUGGGAAGAAAAAGGCCAUGCGUGGCAAAUUGCCGGUACCAGAUGAAUAAGCACCGGCUAACUCCGUGCCAGCAGCCGCGGUAAUACGGAGGGUGCAAGCGUUGUCCGGAUUUAUUGGGUUUAAAGGGUGCGUAGGCGGCUGAAUAAGUCAGCGGUGAAAGACUCCGGCUUAACCGGAGCAGUGCCGUUGAUACUGUUUAGCUUGAGUUCUGCAGGGGUACAUGGAAUUGAUGAUGUAGCGG
rnacentral:rRNA from 1 species